UACGAAGGGGGGCUAGCGUUGUUCGGAAUUACUGGGCGUAAAGGGCGCGUAGGCGGCUUCGAUAGUCGGGUGUGAAAUGCCUGGGCUCAACCCAGGAACUGCACUCGAAACUCCGAGGCUAGAGUGUGGGAGAGGAUAGUGGAAUUCCCAGUGUAGAGGUGAAAUUCGUAGAUAUUGGGAAGAACACCGGUGGCGAAGGCGGCUAUCUGGACCACAACUGACGCUGAGGCGCGAAAGCGUGGGGAGCAAACAGG
rnacentral:rRNA from 1 species